rnacentral:rRNA from 1 species
UACGUAGGGUGCAAGCGUUGUCCGGAAUUAUUGGGCGUAAAGAGCUCGUAGGCGGUCUGUCGCGUCGGAUGUGAAAAUCCAGGGCUUAACCCUGGGACCUGCAUUCGAUACGGGCAGACUAGAGUUCGGUAGGGGAGACUGGAAUUCCUGGUGUAGCGGUGAAAUGCGCAGAUAUCAGGAGGAACACCGGUGGCGAAGGCGGGUCUCUGGGCCGAUACUGACGCUGAGGAGCGAAAGCGUGGGGAGCGAACAGG